rnacentral:rRNA from 1 species
UACGUAGGCAGCGAGCGUUGUUCGGAGUUACUGGGCGUAAAGAGUGCGUAGGCGGUGCUCUAAGUUUGGUGUGAAAUCUCCCGGCUCAACUGGGAGGGUGCGCCGAAAACUGGAGUGCUCGAGUAUGGGAGAGGUAAGCGGAAUUCCUGGUGUAGCGGUGAAAUGCGUAGAUAUCAGGAGGAACGCCUGCGGUGUAGACGGCUUACUGGACCAUGACUGACGCUGAGGCACGAAAGCCAGGGGAGCGAACGGG